rnacentral:lncRNA from 1 species
GAAACUAUAUUAUCUUCAGAAGUGCCAGGCAAGCAAAACCCCCUUGUUCAUUCCGAUACAAUCCCACUCUCUCGCUCCUGCUCUCUUUUACUGCAUUAGGACAACAACGAUUCAUGUGUUACUUGCUGCGGUAGUUGAACCCUUUAUCCUCUGCAUGACCUGUCAUUGCCACAGUAAAUAGAUGAAACCCACUAGCAUGAGUAGGAGUUGUUUGAGCCCUGAUGUGCCUACUCAUUCAUGCUUAUUUGUCAUGCCUGCUAUUGCUUAGAGUUGAGUCAGGUCUGAUUCAUUGGGAAUGAAUCGGAGGUGUGUAAACAUGUCCUACUGUUGAGAGCUAAGUGUGUGAACACGAUUUGGUAAAGGUAGCGGUGAGAGGCCAUGUAGGAGUACAUGGUGGGUUGUCUCAUUGCAGCCGUCCUCAGGAACUGAGUUCUGUGUUUGUGAUCCAUGAACAGUUACUACCACACAUUGGGUUCCGAUAACUCGACACCUCUCGGCUUCUUAAUCACCCUUGUUCUCUGUCCAGGAGUUGCAACUAGUUUCUGGUCUUUGUAGGUAGUGCUAAUAGUCUACCAAGUGGCACCCGGUACAGGUGGGCUUGGGACAGACUAGGUGCAGUGGCACGGUGUACCAAGUGGCACCCGGAUGGUGGGCUUGGGAACCCUGCUAACAUCGUUUGGGGCCGUGAGCGACACCCCGGCCGGAUCUCCUUGCGGAUGGAACCCGAAUAGGCGAUAAACCUGGACGAGAGACUUGAGUGUUUAGGUAGGCCGUGGCCGACUCCCUCGCCCGGCUUCCGCUCGAAGGUUGCCGAGGUACGUGACGUGUACAGGGCGAUAAGUGGCGAGAGCGUGUGUGAAGAAGUACACCCCUGCAGGGUUAUCAUUAUCUAUUCGAAUAGCCGGAUUCCUCGGAUAUGGAAACUUGGACCCCUUGUACAGUUCAUAGACAAGUGAAAGUGGAUACUCUAAAAUACGCAAGAUAAGCGUGAGUGCUAUGGAUGGCGUUCUCGUAGGGAGACGGGAGCGGAUUCAUAGUGGAGUAUUGAUAUGGUGAAUAUGUGGACUCGUGUGCGCCACCUCAAAAGAGUUACUUGCAGUCGUAGUUCAGGAGAGCCACCGAGUCAAAGCUGGCUUGCUGCAGUUAAACUCCACCACCCCCUUUGUUGAUAAUGAUGCAUAUGUAGUUAGUUCUGAUGUAAGUCUUGCUGGGUACAUUUGUACACACGUUCGCCUAUUUUAUGUUUUUGCAGAGAGACUUCAGUCUCACUAGUAGUUCCGCAUGGACUUCGACGUUUAGCUUGUUACCUCAGCUACGAUCUUGUGCCCUCGACAGGAUCUAGUAGAUAGUCAGGCUUCUCAGCCUUUUCAUUUGUAGAUGUCUGUACUCAGACAUGUUAAGCUUCCGCUUGUGCUUUGACUUGUAUGCUCUGAAUGCUGGGUCGUGAGACCCAUGUUUGUAAUAUCUCGCUCUUCGGAGCCUAUUGAAUAAAUAUUUGAGUUGUAGAGUCAUGUUGUGAUGCCAUGUUGUAUUUGCACAUAUCGAGCAUAUUGUGUGUAUGUUAUUGAAAUGCUUGGUAUGUGUGGGAUCUGACUAUCUAGUUGUUUAUUCUUAGUAGCCUCUCUUACCGGGAAAUGUCUCCUAGUGUUUCCACUGAGCCAUGGUAGCUUGCUACUGCUCCGGAACACUUAGGCUGGCCGGCAUGUGUCCUUCUUCGUUCCUGUGUCUGUCCCUUCGGGGAAAUGUCACGUGAUGAAUACCGGAGUCCUGUUAGCCCGCUACAGCCCGGUUCACUGAAGUCCUGCUAGCCCAGUGCUACAGCCUGGUUUCACUCACUGAUGACCGACACGUUCGAUGUUGGGUCAUGGAUGCCUGUCCCUGUAAGUUUGUGCCACUUUGGGUUUACGACUAGCCAUGUCAGCCCGGGCUCCUUAUCAUAUGGAUGCUAGCGACACUAUCAUAUACGUGUGCCAAAAGGCGCAAACGGUCCCGGGCAAAGGUAAGGCGACACCCGUGGGGAUACCGUGCGUGAGGCCGCAAAGUGAUAUGAGGUGUUACAUGCUAGAUCGAUGUGGCAUUGAGUCGGGGUCCUGACAGCUUUGGUAUCAGAGCUUGACUGCCUGUAGGAUUACCAAGCCAAACUGGUCGAAGUUGAGUCUAGAAAUUCUUUAAUUAUAUAAGGGAAUUGAUUGUGGGAUGGAACGUAAGGCUCUUUUUACUCCUUAUACCUUUGCCCUUCUGAUCUGAGUCAUCUUAUCUUUCCUACGGGGUUAAGGAAUUAGGCCUUCUCUUCUUUCUAUUAGGAUCACGUGUUACUAAUCCGUAGACUAAUAGGAUUGAUGGAUUUAAGCCUCAGUUAAGUUCCUACUGCUUCCGAGUGUUGAUAAUUGAUAUCGAAACCUUGAUAUUAUGAUGUUCGAGUGGUUAUGCCACCAUUUUGCAGAAUGUCUCAAACCUUUUUGAUCAUUUACAGCCGUUAUGCUGUCCGAGUCAUCCCAGGUCUCUAAAUAGUCUGAUGCAUUUGCAAAUCCCUUCCUCCCGUUCCUGAUGUCCUUUUAGGCCGGGUUAAUCACACUAAUUGCUGAGUUGAGGAUCUCUAUUGCCUCGACAUAUAUGUUGGAGUUAUUAUUAUGACCCUAGGUGUCUUACAGGAUCAUCUAGUAAUUUAGCCAUGCUUUGUGUUCCCAGUGUGAUGAUUCCGGCCAUCAUUCUCGAAAGCAUCCCGUGAUGCCAUUUAGUUAGUAGGCUUUCUAAUCCUGGGUUUUUGAACUCGAGAUUCACCCUACUUACUUCGUGUUGAUAGUGUUGCUAGUUCCUUUAGGAUAUUAGUAACCUUUGCGAUAGUCCUCGAGGUCCAUGGUAUAUCGUUCUCCCAAAUACCAUGAACCAUUCUUGGAAGGAGUUCUUUUGAACCAAAAGAUCACAACCAGAGUGCUCUUGAUGAGUUCUCCAUUCUAUAUUGUGAAUCUGCAAGUUCUACCUUUCUGCAUGGGUUAUCCGGAAGAAACCUGUUGACCUUUGCUCGACAUACUAAUCCAUGCAUCAACAACUCAGAAAGUUAUAUGUUCCAUGAGUUGUUCCUCCUUAGAUGUCUUCUGACCUUCAUCUAUCAAUUGAUAGUCAAGAGAAUGCGCAUUCGUCCAUCGAUGCCUAUUGCUCUUGUGGUCCGUCAAGCCAUUCUAUUCCAGAAUGACUAGGAGAAACAAACUCCAGUACCUCAUCCAUAUCCAGGAUUGGGUCAAAGUAAUUGUACUUCGCAGAUCAAAAUGCUAAUCCAGCUUUUGUUCUGUUCUACCUUGGAGUAUUACCAUCUUUAUAUCAAGAAUGUCAUGGGAAUUGUACACCAGCCUACGAACUCUUGAUACUGUGAUACUUCUCGCCCCUCACUACUCAUUUCUCGGUCCCCGUGUUUUUGCAACCGGAAUACCGACAAGUGAAUCGUGAUGUGUGAAAUCUAUACUCCUAGCAACUCCGUUGCUUGGUAGUUAAAGGACAAUAAUUUCAUUCUUAGCAUGUUGGUUCUUGAAUCAUCAUCCUAAGAUAGAUCGUGCUACCUAGUCCUUACUUCCGGUGCACUCUUCGAUCAAUGAGUUAGGAUUGUGCCAAUCCCUCGCUCUUGUGAUCAUAUCGUCUUUCCCUGAAAAGCAAGAUUGUUCUCGAGCUUAGUGACAUACCGGUGGUUCGUGAUUUUCCGUAUAUCUUCUCGGAAGUAUUACCAGGUUGUCACCAGACCGCUAUGUUGAGUUCGUGAUCAAGUUAGUUUUCUUAUAAACCACCCCUUCCCCAAGAAUCUGUGUUGGAUACCCCUGAGCUAGUUGGUUAAGCUGAACAGCAACUUGGAGAGUUGGAAGAUAAAAGCUUGCCUAACUUAGUUCAUUUCAAAAGGGAUAUCUUGUGUUUGUGUGUUUGUUGUAGAAAGAUGAUUUCUUCAUCGAUUGGUCCUCGUGAUCAGUUGUUGAACCUAUCGUCUUGCCCAAACCUUGAUUUGAGUAUGGGCUAUCAUCAAAUCAAUUCAGAACCAACGAUGUUCGUAAUGUUGUCUUACCCGUGGUUGUUUCCUCGGGCAUACACCGUUAUAUCCUUUGGUCUGACCGAUGCUAUCACCGUGUUCACAUGAUGGUGGAAGUCCAGUAAUAUGGAAAUUCCGAUGAAUUGCUGUUGAGCCCAUCAGCAGCAUUUUGUCUCCCCCAUGAUCCAUGUUGAACAUCAAUUUAGUGUUGGAAACUUCUAUAAGCAUUAUCUUCAUGUUCCGUUCAUGAAGCAUAUGUUGGAUGGAAGAAGUGACUUCCUCGAAUUCAUGUGCAUUUGGUGCAAGUUGCCGCCAUGAGUUCGAGAAAGAUUGUUUUGUUUCCUUUGGUACCAUCCCAAGUCAGUCAUGCAUGUGCAAAGUAUACUAUGGUUUGGUAGAUUAAUUACCUCCACUCCAUAUGUAUUCCCUAGCACACCAAGCCACUGACUGAUUUGUUCAAGGAGAAGGAGUUCCUUCAUAAGAGCUAAUCGUGACUUAUGAUAGGACUUCGAUAUCCUCGAUGAUGGAUUUCCCACCAGAACUCUGUAGUGUUUUAUUAUAAGACUACUACGUGACCAUGCUUGUCUGGGACAGUGUGUUCACAUGUAUGUAGCAGAACCAGCUAAUGUUUUGGAGCUUGCUAUCGUAGUUCAUUUCCCGAGAAUCUCGCAACGUCAUCUCGUCGAUUUGUCUUGCAAACUUUCUUUUCCAGACAUGUAGUCUGGAAUAUUCUAACAUCAACCAGAUCUGAAUCUGAGGCAGAUAUGAUGGUUGGAACAUGUCCCAAGAACUAUAAUAUUGGUCUCUCUAUAACCCGGUAAAAUGGAUGUCAUGGCCAACACACCCAACCGGAAGACCUGUUAUUGUAAUAUCUUGAUUGAAUAAGUUGGCCACCUCUCCAUAAGGACUUCGUAGGAAUUAUUCCCUAUUUGUGUGCCUUAUGAUUUUUGUGUUCCCGAAGUCCGACCUUUUACUUGAUGUUCUAGAUAUUAAACCAUAUCUACGUAUGGGAUAUGCUAGUACAUCAAGGAGAACAUUAGAAGCGGGGUGCUAAAUGUCUCUUGGUCGAUCAUCCAGAUUUUGUCCCCUUGGUCACACUAAGGUGAAAUCUGAGAAAGUGUUAUCUUUCUUUGCAUCUACAUCGUCCAUCGCUGUUCAUCAUGGUAGUACGUUGUGUUGCCAGGAUCCUUGACACGAAUACUGGUUAAACCUUGAUGAAUAUAGAAAUGCUCAAGUUCUUGAGAGCAUGCACAAGCGCUAGGUGUUACCAUCGGCACUAACUGGGAUUGCUCUCAGUUUCCUCGGUUAUGCUAUAACUUUUCAAACAAUGGAAUCACUCUCUGCUGUUGGGUUUCUCCCCAGUUACUAGAAUCAUUCCCAGCAUUUGUGUUUUGUUCCCACCUUGCACCGACAUUGUGCCAUCCUAUCUUGGGUCCCAUCCAUUUCCGAUGAUAAGCAAAAUCAUCCUUUGUGUUUUCUUCAACAAGGUAAUCCACAUCAUCCAUACUAGUCCGGGUAUGUCAUUCUUCCGGACUCCUUCAAAUGAUCGAUUAUGAUUUGCCUUAAGCUGGUAUAAAGAGCCUCAAUGAUCUUUGAAUCAAAAGUAAUUCUUUUUGCCACUUAAGGGAUGAUUCUAUGAGCCACCUUCCCUAAGGUGCCCCGUUAUGGAAUCAUGGCCGUUUAUCCUCGCUACUUGAAACCCUCGUGAAAUUGCUUCUUCCGUCCCUCCUGAUGCAUGUCUUGCCUCUCAGCUCAAGAGAUGUUCUACAUCUCAUUCCGUGAGUUGAUCUUGUGACCACUAAAAUGAUCCAUCCUAGUAGAGUGUUUCUGUCCUCAUGUUGGAUGAGGAUCUCAAAAGCAAAGACAUCAAGAUCAAUUGGAGCACUGAAUCAGCAUCCUCGAGAAAGACAUCUGGAUCGUGAAGUUGUGUUAGCUUGUGUCCCCUCUGUCUUCUUACCUCACAUCUUGAAUCUCGGGUCGAGAUUCUUGUUUAGUGGGGGUAAGUUGUCACGUCCCUAAUUCUGGUAUGCUCUGAGCUAGCUAGUCAUGUGUUGCAUCAUGUUUAAUUUCUUUUAAACUUGAAAUGGGGAUGUUGAAACCCUAGCAUCAAAUGAAUUCAACUAGGUUCAAACUUAAAACUUUUCAAUGAACCCAAAAUGCCCUUCAUAAAUGUUCACCAUCUUUGGUUCUGGCUAAACCGUCUGCCAAAAAUGGUUUCAUAUUUUUGGAGGCUAUUUUGGAUUUUUUUGAAUUAAAUAAUAAGUAUUUGAAUUUGGACUUUUAAAUUCUAUAAAUAUUUUAAAUGUCCAAAUAAUCUUGAAAGCAUUUGAGGGCUAUUGGAAAUAGUUUCAAAAGUGCCCACAAUUAUUUUCAGGAUUUUACAAAAUGAAUUAGCAUUUCUACUAAUUCAAAACAGAGAAAUAAAAUAGAAAACAGAAAACAAUUAAGUAACAGAGAGGGAGGGAUGCUCACCUGGACCUACCUGGCAGCCCACCUGGCUGGCCCAGCUGGUGGCCUAGCCCACCAGGGCCCAUGCCAGUCAUCCUCUACCUCUGCCAGUAGGCAGAGGAGGGAGACAGCGCACGCGCGCGCCAUGGCGACACGCCACCUCCCUGCCUGCCUGCGUCCCUCGCCACCGCGACGGCUCGAAGCCCUGCUCGGCGCCGCUCGGGACCCCUGACCCCCUCACUUUUCCCCUUCGUCUCUCCCUCGCCUCUCCCUCUCGCCACCGAAUACGCCCAUCGCCGCCGCUCGUUGCUGCCGCGACCACUGCCUCCCCCUCGCCCCUCUGACGUGCCCGAGAGCUCCGCCGCGACGACCUCUUCCUCUUCACCAAGUCACAUGGCGCCGGACAGCCAGGAAUGUGGCCAUCGAGCUCAUCAUCGUCCUCUGCCCCGACGAUCGCCGCCCGUCGAUUCGCCGCCUCCGACGCUUCCCCGACCACGCUGGGCUUCUCCGCGAGACCUCUGUGAGCUCCACCGUCGUUUUCCCCUCCUCCCCGCGUCUAACUCGUCCUCUAACCACGUUUUCCACCGGAGCCGAGAGCCGGUUGCCGUUGUUUCUGUCGCCGCCGUAGCUAGAGCUAGCAAAGCUCGCGCGUGAGCACGACUAGGUGCCCAGCGGCCUCGCAGCAAGCCAACGCCGCCGCCAGCUCGCCGUAUGGUGCACCACAUCGCUGUUCUCGAGCAUGCCCGAACCACGGCCGCCGCAAACCGCAACGCCGGCGUCAUCUCCGGCAACCCCCGCACACACUGCUUGCUCCGCUCGAUGCGCGAGCUCACCACCAACGCGUAGAUGCCCUUCGCCACACAUUUGGUCGCCUGUGGGCGAUUCCCGAAGCCUCCGCCAUCUCUGUCGUCGCCGGCGACGAACCGUUGACCUGGUCCGGCGGGUUUCACCCAGUUUGACCGAGGUUUGACUUUUCCCCUGACUCACUGACACGCGGGCCCGGCCCUACUAAUUAAUCUAGGAUUAGUGCUAAUUAAAACAGGAUAGUUUAGUUAGUAACUGACACGCGGGACCCACUGAUCAGUUUGACCUGGGCUGCCCCGUUGACUCGCUUGCAUCAUGCUGACGUCAGGCUGACGCAGUAAAUCAUUUACUGGAUUUAUUCUUAUUCAGGAAAUUCCAGAAAAUAUUCCAAACUUCUAAAAUUCAUAGAAAUUCAACCGUAGCUCCAAAUGAAACAAGUUAUAUAUGAAAAAUGAUCAGAAAAAUACAAUCUAUCCAUCUGCUCUCGUUUCAUGCAUGUUUAAGCAACUUAACCUUGCUGUUCAUAUCAAAACAUGAUAAUGCACUUUAUGAAUUCAUAGUUUGAGUUUGAAUUUGAAUCUUUGGUUCAAAUAAGCUCAAACCUUUCUGUUCUUAGCUGCAUUAGCCCAAAUCACAGCAUAUUGCCAUGUCAUGAUCCUGCAUCAUAUUGUGCAUUGCAUUGAUUGUGUUUCUUCUUUGUUUGUCGGUGGUUGUUCCCUCUCGAUAGACGUGUUCUGACGAUGAGUUCGAUGACACCGAUGAAGAAACUAUAUUAUCUUCAGAAGUGCCACGCAAGCAAAACCCCCUUGUUCAUUCCGAUACAAUCCCACUCUCUCGCUCCUGCUCUCUUUUACUGCAUUAGGACAAUAACGAUUCAUGUGUUACUUGCUGCGGUAGUUGAACCCUUUAUCCUCUGCAUGACCUGUCAUUGCCACAGUAAAUAGAUGAAACCCACUAGCAUGAGUAGGAGUUGUUUGAGCCCUGAUGUGCCUACUCAUUCAUGCUUAUUUGUCAUGCCUGCUAUUGCUUAGAGUUGAGUCAGGUCUGAUUCAUUGGGAAUGAAUCGGAGGUGUGUAAACAUGUCCUACAGUUGAGAGCUAAGUGUGUGAACACGAUUUGGUAAAGGUUGCGGUGAGAGGCCAUGUAGGAGUACAUGGUGGGUUGUCUCAUUGCAGCCAUCCUCAGGAACUAAGUUCUGUGUUUGUGAUCCAUGAACAGUUACUACCACACAUUGGGUUCCGGUAACUCGACCCCUCUCGGCUUCUUAAUAACCCUUGUUCUCUGUCCAGGAGUUGCAACUAGUUUCUGGUGUUUGUAGGUAGUGCUAAUAGUCUACCAAGUGGCACCCGGUACAGGUGGGCUUGGGACAUACUAGGUGCAGUGGCACGGUGUACCAAGUGGCACCCGGAUGGUGGGCUUGGGAACCCUGCUCACAUCGUUUGGGGCCGUGAGCGACACCCCGGCCGGAUCUCCUUGCGGAUGGAACCUGAAUAGGCGAUAAACUUGGACGAGAGACUUGGUUGUUUAGGUAGGCCGUGGCUGACUCUCUCGCCCGGCUUCCGCUUGAAGGUUGCCGAGGUACAUGACGUGUACAGGGCGAUAAGUGGCGAGAGCGUGUGUGAAGAAGUACACCCCUGCAGGGUUAUCAUUAUCUAUUCGAAUAGCCGGAUUCCUCAGAUAUGGAAACUUGGACCCCUUGUACAGUUCAUAGACAAGUGAAAGUGGAUACUCUAAAAUACCCAAGAUAAGCGUGAGUGCUAUGGAUGGCGUUCUCGUAGGGAGACGGGAGCGGAUUCAUAGUGGAGUAUUGAUAUGGUGAAUAUGUGGACUCGUGUGCGCCACCUCAAAAGAGUUACUUGCAGUCGUAGUUCAGGAUAGCCACCGAGUCAAAGCUGGCUUGCUGUAGUUAAACUCCACCACCCCCUUUGUUGAUAAUGAUGCAUAUGUAGUUAGUUCUGAUGUAAGUCUUGCAGGGUACAUUUGUACACACAUUUACCUAUUUUAUGUUUUUGCAGAGAGACUUCAGUCUCACUAGUAGUUCAGCAUGGACUUCGACGUUUAGCUUGUUACCUCAGCUACGAUCUUGUGCCCUCGGCAGGAUCUAGUAGAUAGUCAGGCUUCUCAGCCUUUUCAUUUGUAGAUGUCUGUACUCAGACAUGUUAAGCUUCCGCUUGUGCUUUGACUUGUAUGCUCUGAAUGCUGGGUCGUGAGACCCAUGUUUGUAAUAUCUUGCUCUUCGGAGCCUAUUGAAUAAAUACUUGAGUUGUAGAUUCAUGUUGUGAUGCCAUGUUGUAUUUGCACAUAUCGAGCAUAUUGUGUGUAUGUUAUUGAAAUGCUUGGUAUGUGUGGGAUCUGACUAUCUAGUUGUUUAUCCUUAGUAGCCUCUCUUACCGGGAAAUGUCUCCUAGUGUUUCCACUGAGCCAUGGUAGCUUGCUACUGCUCCGGAACACUUAGGCUGGCCGGCAUGUGUCCUUCUUCGUUCCUGUGUCUGUCCCUUCGGGGAAAUGUCACGCGAUGAAUACCGGAGUCCUGUUAGCCCGCUACAGCCCGAUUCACCAGAGUCCUGCUAGCCCAAUGCUACAGCCUGGAUUCACUCGCUGAUGACCGACACGUUUGAUGCUGGGUCAUGGAUGCCUGUCCCUGUAAGUUUGUGCCACUUUGGGUUUACGACUAGCCAUGUCAGCCCGGGCUCCUUAUCAUAUGGAUGCUAGCGACACUAUCAUAUACGUGUGCCAAAAGGCGCAAACGGUCCCGGGCAAAGGUAAGGCGACACCCGUGGGGAUACCGUGCGUGAGGCCGCAAAGUGAUAUGAGGUGUUACAUGCUAGAUCGAUGUGGCAUUGAGUCGGGGUCCUGACAGCCGACGAGGCUCCGACCACCCAACGGCCGCGCCACCUUGUUCACUAGCCCUAACGCACCCCCAGGAGCUCAACGCACUAACCCACGCACCUCGCCGUGCCCCCUAGCGAUGAGUCCGAGCUCACCCGAGCCUCGGUCACCGCCAAACUCGUUGCCGGCGACGUUUCCGGCAACCCCGAGCCCAAACACCGCCACCAAACGCUGCGGCUUGCUCCCAGCUACACGUAGACACUCCCCUCCGGCCAUUUGGUCGCCGGAACGCGAAAUUGCACUCCCACCGCCACGUCUGGCCUCGCCGGCGGCUGAACGCCGACGGGUUUGACCCGUUGACCUUGACUGGGUGGGCCCAGGUUGACUUCCCCUGAUCCUAUGACAAGUGGGGCCCGCUCUGAUAAUUAACCUAGGGUUAGCGCUAACUAAUAUUAGUUAGUUAAACUAACUACUGACACGCAGGGCCCACAGGUCAGUUUGACCUGGACCUGCCCCGUUGACCACUGACCUCACCCUGACGCAGUGCUCACGCAUUAAUUCAAUUACUGGAAUUAUUCUUAUACAGGAAAUUCCAGAAAAUAACUAAAACUUCUAAAAAUCAUAGAAAAUCAACCGCUUCAAAUCAAAUAAAUUAUAUAUGGAAAAUGAUCAGAAAAAUCCAAUCUAUCCAUCUGCACUGGUUUCAUGCAUGUUAGAAGACAUUGACCUUGCUGUUUAGGUGAAACAAGUUAAUGCACUAUUAUGACCUCUUAAAAUGGGUUUGCAUUUGAAUCUUUGGUUCAAAUGGACUCAUCUCAAUCUGUUCUAGCUUGCAUUAGCCAAAACACAUUCUUAUUGCCAUGUCAAAGCAUGCAUCAUAUUGUGCAUUGCAUUGAUCGUGUUUCUUCUCUGUUUGUCGGUGUUGUUCCCCCUUGGUAGACAUUGUACCGACGGUCUCAUCGUUGACACUGCUGAAGACUCAAUGCUAUCUUCAGAAGUGCCAGGCAAGCAAAAGCCCCCUUGUUCAUUCCGAUACAAUCCCACUCUCUCGCUCCUGCUCUCUUUUACUGCAUUAGGACAACAACGAUUCAUCUGUUACUUGCUGCGGUAGCUGAACCUCUUUAUCCUUUGCAUGACCUGUCAUUCCAUAGUAAAUAGAUGAAACCCACUAGCAUGAGUACGAGUUGUUUGAGCCCUGUUGUGCCUACUCAUUCAUGCUUGUUUGUCAUGCCUGCUAAUGCUU